UAUAUAUAUAUAUUUCACCUUAAGGUGAAACCUUUAAUUAGUAAAUUAUCACAACAUACCAACAAAAAUAACCACAUUAUAAAACAAAUGGCUGUCAUCUAGCACAUAAAAUUAAACAAAUUUAUGCAUUUUCUAAGUUUAAAAAAAAACAACACUUAUGCUUAUGAAUUUUGGUUUAUAAAUACAUGUUGUUGGCUUUUAUAGGCAUCAAUAAAAAUUUAUGGCGAUUUUUGCAGGUUCACUGCGCUGGCAGAAUGUAAUAAGGAAUUAAUGUUAUUUCAUUGAACUAAGUCAUUGACUUGAUAAUAUAUUUUUCCUCUCUCUUAAUCUUAUAUCUGUAUAACUGUUUUAUCUUUCUUGUUCUACCUAAUAAUAAAAAAAAAA